rnacentral:rRNA from 1 species
UACGGGGGGGGCAAGCGUUGUUCGGAAUUACUGGGCGUAAAGGGCUCGUAGGCGGCCAACUAAGUCAGACGUGAAAUCCCUCGGCUUAACCGGGGAACUGCGUCUGAUACUGGAUGGCUUGAGAUUGGGAGAGGGAUGCGGAAUUCCAGGUGUAGCGGUGAAAUGCGUAGAUAUCGUCUGGAACGCCAAAGGUGAAAACAGGUCGCUGGGGCUGAGCUGACGCUGAGACACGAAAGCCAGGGGAGCGAACGGG